rnacentral:rRNA from 1 species
UACGGGGGGGGUAAGCGUUGUUCGGAAUUACUGGGCGUAAAGGGCUCGUAGGCGGCCAACUAAGUCGGACGUGAAAUCCCUCAGCUUAACUGGGGAACUGCGUCCGAUACUGGAUGGCUUGGAUUUGGGAGAGGGAUGCGGAAUUCCAGGUGUAGCGGUGAAAUGCGUAGAUAUCUGGAGGAACACCGGUGGCGAAGGCGGCUCGCUGGGCCAUUCCUGACGCUGAGACGCGAAAGCUAGGGGAGCGAACAGG